rnacentral:lncRNA from 1 species
CACUAAGGUUUCUGCUCACUGUGACCUUGAAUUGCACUCUGUCCCCUCCCCUGACCUCUGGCUUUCUCUGCACAGUUUCAGUCCAACCUUCCUGAGAUAGAAGGUGUGAUUGGCUAUGUCAGUCACCCUUCAGUAGAGAUCAUCCCUGACCAGUGUGUGGCUUUGUGCACACUAGUCCUUCUUGGCCUGGGUGCCUGGCCUAGACUGCACAGCUGUGACUACACAAUGGGGAGCAGAGCAGCCCACAUCUCCCCCUCAGAAGGGCACUGGGGAGUGGCAGCCUUCUGAAGCUGGCACCUCGUAACCACAGGCCCUGCCUGGAGCUUCCCCGGUCAGUCCAGGAGGUGAGCACCUGGAUGAGGGAUGGACAGUGAGCCCAGGGUCAGCCAACGUGUCCUGUCCAUCAGUCCCUGUGCCAUCAGCUCAUUUGUGUUCCUCUGUGCACUGGCACCAGGAAUAAAUGUGAAGGGCCAGAGUGAGGCAUCUGAACAGCCACAACUGUUAUCACCUCUGUACAUGCGAUUCUGCAGGUCCACUCAUUCAGAGUCUGGGCUGGCCUCUUGACUUGCUUUGAC